GAUCAUGGCUCAGAUUGAACGCUGGCGGCAGGCUUAACACAUGCAAGUCGAACGGUAACAUAAAGAAGCUUGCUUCUUUGAUGACGAGUGGCGGACGGGUGAGUAAUGCUUGGGAAUCUAGCUUAUGGAGGGGGAUAACUACGGGAAACUGUAGCUAAUACCGCGUAGUAUCGGAAGAUGAAAGUGUGGGACCUUCGGGCCACAUGCCAUAGGAUGAGCCCAAGUGGGAUUAGGUAGUUGGUG
rnacentral:rRNA from 1 species